rnacentral:rRNA from 1 species
UACGUAGGUGGCAAGCGUUUGUCCGGAUUUACUGGGCGUAAAGAGCGCGCAGGCGCCGAGUAAGUCGAAUGUGAAAGCCCCCGGCUCAACUGGGGAACGUCAUUCGAUACUGUUCGGCUCGAAGAUAGGAGAGGGAAGCGGAAUUUCAGGUGUAGCGGUGAAAUGCGUAGAUAUCUGAAGGAACACCAGUGGCGAAGGCGGCUUUCUGGCCUAUUCUUGACGCUGAGGCGCGAAAGCUAGGGGAGCGAACGGGAUAAGAAACCCUUGGUACGUC